UGAUGACGAGAUGCUACGGCAUUGAAGCAGUCUAUGUCAGACUUCCAAGAAAAGCUCGCACUGUCAUAAAUAAAUAAUGCCUGUACCAUAACCGACACAGGUGGGUAGGUAGAGUAUACUAAGGGGCGCGAGAUAACUCUCUCUAAGGAACUCGGCAAAAUGACUCCGUAACUUCGGGAGAAGGAGUGCCUUAUUUUUAAGGUUGCAAUAACAAGAUCCAAGCAACUGUUUAUCAAAAACACAGGUCUCCGCUAAGUCGUAAGACGAUGUAUGGGGGCUGACGCCUGCCCAGUGCCAGAAGGUUAAAGAAGUUGGUUAGCAUUCGCGAAGCUCAUAACUGAAGCCCUGGUGAACGGCGGCCGUAACAAUAACGGUCCUAAGGUAGCGAAAUUCCUUGUCGGGUAAGUUCCGACCCGCACGAAAGGCGUAAUGAUUUGGAUACUGUCUCGGAGAGGGGCUCGGUGAAAUAGACUUGUCUGUGAAGAUGCGGACUACCUGCACCUGGACAGAAAGACCCUAUGAAGCUUUACUGUAACUUGAAAUUGAAAUUGGACUUUACUUGCGCAGUAUAGGUGGGAGGCGUUGAGUUUAUUCUUGCGGGAAUUUAGGAGCCAUCAGUGAGAUACCACUCUGGUAAUGCUAGAUUUCUAACUUUGGAUCAUGAUCUGGUCAAAGAACAGUUUCAGGCGGGCAGUUUGACUGGGGCGGCCGCCUCCCAAAUGGUAACGGAGGCGUACAAAGGUUUCCUCUGAACGUGUAGAAAUCGUAUCUAGAGUGUAAAGGCAUAAGGAAGCUUGACUGUGAGACCUACAAGUCGAGCAGGGACGAAAGUCGGUCUUAGUGAUCUGACGGUGCUGAGUGGAAAGGCCGUCACUCAACGGAUAAAAGUUACUCUAGGAUAACAGGCUGAUCUCCCCCAAGAGUUCACAUCGACGGGGAGGUUUGGCACCUCGAUGUCGGCUCAUCGCAUCCUGGGGCGGUAGUACGUCCAAGGGUUGGGCUGUUCGCCCAUGAAAGCGGUACGCGAGCUGGGUUCAGAACGUCGUGAGACAGUCCGGUCCAUAUCCGGUGUAGGCGUUAGGAUAUUGAGAGGAGCCUUCUUUAGUACGAGAGGACCGAGAAGGACGUACCUCUGGUGUACCAGUUAUCGUGCCAACGGUAAACGCUGGGUAGCUAUGUAUGGAGAGGAUAACCGCUGAAAGCAUCUAAGUGCCAAGCCCACCUCAAGAUAAGUAUUCUC
rnacentral:rRNA from 1 species